AGAGUUUGAUCCUGGCUCAGGACGAACGCUGGCGGCGUGCCUAAUACAUGCAAGUCGAGCGGACCGGAUCGGAGCUUGCUCUGGUUUGGUCAGCGGCGGACGGGUGAGUAACACGUGGGCAACCUGCCCGCAAGACCGGGAUAACUCCGGGAAACCGGAGCUAAUACCGGAUAACACCGAAGACCGCAUGGUCUUUGGUUGAAAGGCGGCCUUUGGCUGUCACUUGCGGAUGGGCCCGCGGCGCAUUAGCUAGUUGGUGAGGUAACGGCUCACCAAGGCGACGAUGCGUAGCCGGCCUGAGAGGGUGACCGGCCACACUGGGACUGAGACACGGCCCAGACUCCUACGGGAGGCAGCAGUAGGGAAUCUUCCGCAAUGGGCGAAAGCCUGACGGAGCGACGCCGCGUGAGCGAAGAAGGCCUUCGGGUCGUAAAGCUCUGUUGUGAGGGACGAAGGGGCGCCGUUCGAAGAGGGCGGCGCGGUGACGGUACCUCACGAGGAAGCCCCGGCUAACUACGUGCCAGCAGCCGCGGUAAUACGUAGGGGGCGAGCGUUGUCCGGAAUUAUUGGGCGUAAAGCGCGCGCAGGCGGUCCCUUAAGUCUGAUGUGAAAGCCCACGGCUCAACCGUGGAGGGUCAUUGGAAACUGGGGGACUUGAGUGCAGAGAGGAGAGCGGAUUCCACGUGUAGCGGUGAAUGCGUAGAGAUGUGGAGGACACCAGUGGCGAAGCGGCUCUCUGGCCUGCAACUGACGCUGAGGCGCGAAGCGUGGGA
rnacentral:rRNA from 1 species